UGAGGGAUGGCUCAGUGGUAGAGUGUAUGCUUAGCAUGCAGGAGGUCCUGGGUUCUAAUCCCCAGUACCUCCA
rnacentral:tRNA from 1 species